rnacentral:pre_miRNA from 1 species
AAAGUACUCCCUCCAUCCCAAAAUUCUUGUCUUAGAUUUGUCUAGAUACGGAUGUAUCAAGUCACAUUUUAGUAUUCGAUACAUCCGUAUCUAGACAAAUCUAAGACAAGAAAUUUGGGACAGAGGGAGUAGUUG